GAUGAACGCUGGCGGCGUGCCUAAUACAUGCAAGUCGAGCGAACGGACGAGAAGCUUGCUUUUCUGAUGUUAGCGGCGGACGGGUGAGUAACACGUGGAUAACCUACCUAUAAGACUGGGAUAACUUCGGGAAACCGGAGCUAAUACCGGAUAAUAUUUUGAACCGCAUGGUUCAAAAGUGAAAGACGGUCUUGCUGUCACUUAUAGAUGGAUCCGCGCUGCAUUAGCUAGUUGGUAAGGUAACGGCUUACCAAGGCAACGAUGCAUAGCCGACCUGAGAGGGUGAUCGGCCACACUGGAACUGAGACACGGUCCAGACUCCUACGGGAGGCAGCAGUAGGGAAUCUUCCGCAAUGGGCGAAAGCCUGACGGAGCAACGCCGCGUGAGUGAUGAAGGUCUUCGGAUCGUAAAACUCUGUUAUUAGGGAAGAACAUAUGUGUAAGUAACUGUGCACAUCUUGACGGUACCUAAUCAGAAAGCCACGGCUAACUACGUGCCAGCAGCCGCGGUAAUACGUAGGUGGCAAGCAUUAUCCGGAAUUAUUGGGCGUAAAGCGCGCGUAGGCGGUUUUUUAAGUCUGAUGUGAAAGCCCACGGCUCAACCGUGGAGGGUCAUUGGAAACUGGAAAACUUGAGUGCAGAAGAGGAAAGUGGAAUUCCAUGUGUAGCGGUGAAAUGCGCAGAGAUGUGGAGGAACACCAGUGGCGAAGGCGACUUUCUGGUCUGUAACUGACGCUGAUGUGCGAAAGCGUGGGGAUCAAACAGGAUUAGAUACCCUGGUAGUCCACGCCGUAAACGAUGAGUGCUAAGUGUUAGGGGGUUUCCGCCCCUUAGUGCUGCAGCUAACGCAUUAAGCACUCCGCCUGGGGAGUACGACCGCAAGGUUGAAACUCAAAGGAAUUGACGGGGGCCCGCACAAGCGGUGGAGCAUGUGGUUUAAUUCGAAGCAACGCGAAGAACCUUACCAAAUCUUGACAUCCUUUGACAACUCUAGAGAUAGAGCCUUCCCCUUCGGGGGACAAAGUGACAGGUGGUGCAUGGUUGUCGUCAGCUCGUGUCGUGAGAUGUUGGGUUAAGUCCCGCAACGAGCGCAACCCUUAAGCUUAGUUGCCAUCAUUAAGUUGGGCACUCUAAGUUGACUGCCGGUGACAAACCGGAGGAAGGUGGGGAUGACGUCAAAUCAUCAUGCCCCUUAUGAUUUGGGCUACACACGUGCUACAAUGGACAAUACAAAGGGCAGCGAAACCGCGAGGUCAAGCAAAUCCCAUAAAGUUGUUCUCAGUUCGGAUUGUAGUCUGCAACUCGACUACAUGAAGCUGGAAUCGCUAGUAAUCGUAGAUCAGCAUGCUACGGUGAAUACGUUCCCGGGUCU
rnacentral:rRNA from 1 species